AUUGAACGCUGGCGGCAUGCUUUACACAUGCAAGUCGAACGGUAACAGCACUUCGGUGGCUGACGAGUGGCGAACGGGUGAGUAAUACAUCGGAACGUGCCUAGUAGUGGGGGAUAACUACUCGAAAGAGUAGCUAAUACCGCAUGAGAUCUAAGGAUGAAAGCAGGGGACCUUCGGGCCUUGCGCUACUAGAGCGGCUGAUGGCAGAUUAGGUAGUUGGUGGGAUAAAAGCUUACCAAGCCGGCGAUCUGUAGCUGGUCUGAGAGGACGACCAGCCACACUGGGACUGAGACACGGCCCAGACUCCUACGGGAGGCAGCAGUGGGGAAUUUUGGACAAUGGGCGCAAGCCUGAUCCAGCAAUGCCGCGUGCAGGAUGAAGGCCUUCGGGUUGUAAACUGCUUUUGUACGGAACGAAAAGCCCUCUUCUAAUACAGGAGGGUCAUGACGGUACCGUAAGAAUAAGCACCGGCUAACUACGUG
rnacentral:rRNA from 1 species